rnacentral:misc_RNA from 1 species
UAUAAAUUUUAUCGAGAUCUGAUAACUACUUUUUGAGUAAUCUUUGAUAACGCGUAGUCGCUUGACUAUUUUUUCGUCGAUCUACGUUGUAUUACUUGUCGAUGUAAUUGAAGUCGGUUUUUUUUUUCGUUUGCGAGCAAACACAAUUAUUUUAUUCAGAUAUGCCCAUAUCUCAUAAAAUUAGAAAUCUUUAUCUCUUUCAUACUUUUAUAGGUCAGAUAAAUUUAACAGCAACCAAGUGACUGACACAGGCGCUAAGGAAGGACUUGAAAUUAACAGAAAAAAAUUAAUGUGAAUUUGAUCUUUAAAAGAUAAAUUCUGAAUUGUUGUAACAUAAGUGUUAUGUUAUGCAUAUAUAAUUGGUCAGUUUUAUUUUAGACUUACAGGAGAAGCGAGGUCACAGAAAGAAAACUGUAUUUAACUUGCCCUUAACUAAAUACCCACCCUUAAAGUCGUAACUCUCUAUUGCACAGCUUAAAUCGUUGAACGUAAAAAUUAAUGAAGAAAUCACGGACAGCUGUGAAGCAUUUCUAGGCUGCUAUAUUCAAUUCCUAUAGCGAUCAUCCUAAUAGGGAAUAAUAGUAUACCUUAAAAGCUGGUUAACACAUUAGGUACAUAACUCAAAAAAAAAAUUGGUAAAAUAUAACUUAUUUAUAAAAUUAUCGGUAAAGCUUUAGAUUAGGUAAAACCGAAUUUCGGGACCGUGGGGGGAUGGGGAGGGAGAGGGUGGGGAACGCUACCCCUGGUACCACUGUCACACCUCGGAACCCCAUGGUUAUGGAGA